rnacentral:snoRNA from 7 species
CUACCAGAAGCUAUAUUUGUGGGGAAGGUUUUAUUAAAUUACCUUAACCAAUGCAGGCUAUUUGGUAGAAUGAGUAAGACCACACUCUGCAGUGGGAUAUACCACUUAGUAUGGUUCAUUACUAUAUUGUGGCCUACAUU